rnacentral:rRNA from 1 species
UGGGGAAUAUUGCACAAUGGGGAAACCCUGAUGCAGCGACGCCGCGUGAGUGAGGAAGUAUUUCGGUAUGUAAAGCUCUAUCAGCAGGGAAGAAAAUGACGGUACCUGACUAAGAAGCCCCGGCUAACUACGUGCCAGCAGCCGCGGUAAUACGUAGGGGGCAAGCGUUAUCCGGAUUUACUGGGUGUAAAGGGAGUGUAGACGGAAUAGCAAGUCUGAUGUGAAAACCCGAGGCUCAACCACGGGAGUGCAUUGGAAACUGUUAAUCUAGAGUGUCGGAGAGGCAAGCGGAAUUCCUAGUGUAGCGGUGAAAUGCGUAGAUAUCACGCAGAACUCCGAUUGCGAAGGCAGCGUACCGGCGCCCAACUGACGCUGAAGCACGAAGGCGUGGGUAUCGAACAGGAUUAGAUACCC